rnacentral:lncRNA from 1 species
GCCUCCGCUCCAGCGGCCGGGAAUCCUGUCCGCGUUUUGGGGCCCACUCGCCGCUCCCGGGUACGUGUGCUUCUGCUAAGUUUGCGUUUGCAGCUCUUGGUAGCUUUGGCAUCCGAGCUGAGGCGUCUCUCCUCUGUAAACAAACUCAGCGAUCCUCGUCCCUAGAUCCACCUUUUUGCACAUACAGUUUCUUGCUUCUGCUGUUGCCCUUGAUCCGGGAGAUGGGGGUGUGUGCAAACUUGCACAGCCUCCCUCUGGGUUCUGCCAGACGGUUUGGGGUUGCUUUAGAAGUGAACGGGUUUGUAAUUAAGAAAUUCGAGGGCUGAGUAAGGCUGCUGUUGCUGGAAAAGGAAAACAGAUAGAUAACAUGGUAAUCGCUUUGUAAAUAAAGUCGUUCUGGAGGUGGGCACGUAGCUGCACGUCCCGUAUGGCACCGCGAGCAUACACACUGCUGGGACUAUUCCUUUCCAGUGAAAUUUCUCAGUGGGGCAAUAGGUGAUAAUAAUAACCUUGCUUCCCAGAACGCGGCACAACUAGCCUGGUCGUCCAUUUGGCUCAUUGACUUGCAAAUAAAAGCCCUAACACCGGUCUGGGCCACUACCCAGUCAGAGCUCUCUUGCUUUCUCAAAUGGGGAAGCCGAGUUGUUUCCCCAACACCACGAUGAGGCUGCUCCGAGCUUUUAUAUUGCUCUUUAUGUGGUAAAAGCGAGUUUAGCGCUCCGAAUAAGGACUUCUGUUCAGAGUUGUUUCUUCAUAACUCGAUAGCCAUUGAAGACUUCCUGCUGUGAAGAGCAAGUCCCCCCCCCACUACCACCCUUUUUUCCCCUCCCUUCUUGCUCACAGGACUUUUUAAGGCCCUAUUUCUAGAGGACUGGAAAUUCUGAUAUAUUUCCCCUUUCAAGAAUUUGCAAAAGAGAGAAAAACCUGAUUAUUUGAAUCUAUUAGCCCUCUGUCUUUCUCUAGUUAUGUAAGUAUGUAAUAUUUAAUAUAUGUAUUUAAACAUUGUUAUUGCCUUUCUCUCUUCUUCUUUCCUUUUCCAAACUCUCCAGGAUUUAUAACCAUGAGUGCAAUAAUUUUUAAACCUCAAAAAUAUUUACAUUUUAGAGACUCAGGCACAGAAUACACUGCAGUUUUGGUUGCAACAAUCCCAUAAUUUGUCUACUGGUCAGUUUUACCUGUAGGUCAUGGUUUUGCAGUUACAGAAUCAGAGGCUUGGAAGAGACCUGACACUUCCUGUCAAAAAAGAGACUUGAAAAUGUUGGUCAAUCCCAGACUCAAAAAUUGCCAGAUAGAUUGUUUUCUUCUCUUCCUUGUACUGCAGUGUCUUGCAAAACAAGGACCAGCUCUUGAAUGGCUGAUCUAAAUUCCUGUUGCAACCAUUAAGGAAAGGUGCAGCUCCAUCCUGCUCCAAUGGAUGCCAUUUCUAUUGGGAAAUCCCUUGAAAGGUCAACUCCUCAUUCCCCACCCGUUAGAGGGGAAAAAAAAAUCAUUCUGGGACUAGCUGGUUAGAACAUGGUAUGUAUGCUUUGUUCAUUUAUUCAUACAGUGAAUAUUUACCAAGUGCCAGGCACUUUUGCUAGCUCCUGGAGAGAACUGAGAGAACAACUCAUGGUCAGAAAGUGGAGAUGGACAAACAAGCCUUGGACACACUCUGAUAAGUGCCACAGCAGCAUUAAACACAACGACUUCUGGGAGUACACUGAAAGGACACCUAACCUAGUCUUCUGGCCUUGAGAAGGGUUCCCAAUGUAGGUGGUGAUAAGUUGAGCCUUGAGGAUGGGUAGAAGUAGGCUGUCCCAGGAGGGGACAGAGGUGAGAGAUAUAAGUUGUGGAGAGGUAAGCAGACUGGAACCUGUGGUCCCCAGCCUGAGAAAUUUGGAUUGUAUCCUGAAGAUAAUGAGAUGUGAGAGAAGGCUUGUGAACUAGUGAGAGGAUCAAACUUUCAUUUUAGAGAGAUCAGGACAGUAUUGUGGAGAAUGGAUUAAGAAAGUAAGACUGGAAACAGGGAGUCCAGUUAGGGGGCUGUCAGUCAACCAGAGGUAUGCAAAGCCCAGUGUAACCAGGGGUUUAUCCUGGGAAUCCAGGAAAGGCAGUGAUCUGUGUGUGGUCCUGUUGGUGCUAGAUGGUUGUAUUGGUUUCCUAGGGUUGCCAUCACAAAGUACCACAAACUUUGUUUAUACCACUCAGACUUAAACAACAAAAAUUUAUUGUCUCACGGUUCUGGAGUCUAGAAGUCCAAGCUCAAGGUGUUGGCAGGGUUUUCUCUGAGGGCUGUGAGGGCAAAUCUGUUCCAUACGCCUCUUCUAGAUUUGUUGGUUUGCCGGCUAGCUUUAGUAUUUUGUGGCUUGUAUAUGCAUCACUCUGAUCUCUCUGCCUUAAUCCUUACAUGGCAUUUUCACCUGUGUGUAUCUCUGUGUCCAAAUUUACCUUUUUUUUUUAUAGUUAUUUCCCCAAUACAGUUUAUUUUUUCUACUGUACAGCAUGGUGACCCAGUUACACAUACAUAUACACAUUCUGUUUUCGCACAUUAUCAUGCUCCAUCGUAAAUGACUAGACAUAGUUCCCAGUGCUACACAACACGAUCUUAUUGCUAAUCCAUUCCAAAGGCAAUAGUUUGUAUCUAUUAACCCCAAGCUCCCCAACCACCCAACUCCCUCCCCCUACUCUUCAAAUUUACCUUUUUUAUUUUUAAAUUUUUUUUUUCUUUUUUGGCCACACUUGUGGCAUACGCAAGUUCCCAGGCCAGGGAUCAAAUCCAAGUCAAAAGUAUUGAAUUGUAGCUGUGGCCAACACUGGAUCCUUAACCCAUGGGAUCAAACCCAUGCCUUUGCAGCCACCAGAGCCACUGUAGUCAGAGCCUUAACUCACUGCACCACAAGAGGAACUCUUCCCCUUUUUAUAAGGACACCAAUUAUAUUGGAUUAGGGCCCAUUCUAAUGACCUCAUUUAAGCUUGAUUACCUCCGUAAAGACCCUAUCUCUAAAUAAAGUCACAUUGUGAGGUCAUGGGGGUUAGGAUUCCACAUUUUUGGUGGGACACAAUUCAACCUGUAAUAGUGGUGGAAAAACCUAAUAAAACGAGACCUCUGUUGUUAUGGAAGAAAGGUACUGCCUGAAACUCUCUUCCCAAAUCUGCUGGCCCACAAUUUUAUUUCUUCCUGUUUCUACUCAGACAACACCUCAACUAGGCCUUCCUGACUAUCUUACCUAAUUAGCAAUAAUAUCCCUUUUUGUUUCUUACACUGUUUCAUUUUUCUUCCUAGCACUUACCCACACAUGACAUAUUGUGUAUUGAAUUUUUACUGUCUUCUCCCUUAGAAUGGCAGCUCCAAAAGAGCAGAAACCUUGCCUGUUUGUUUGAAUAUUCAGUGUCUAAAACAUGCCUUUACUGAUUAGAUUAAUGAGUGAGUUAAUGAAUGGAAUAUAGCAGAAGUUCUAAGGGAAUCCAAAAAAAGGGCUCUUGUAGGGGGAGGGGGGUCAGGAGAGAUUUUUUCUAGAGAGGGUUACUUUCAAGGCUGGCAGUAGAAAAAUCUAGUGUAAAGGAGAACAGCAGCUCACCCCCGUCUGCAUUGUGGCCUGUCUUGGACUUGAGUGAAACUGGUCUGUUUGGGAGGAUGGCUCAUCCAGGAAUCACUGGCUGCUGAGUAUAGAGGAAGGUCCCAUUGAUGUGAAGUUUUGAUUGAAACAGAGCUUUUAGAGGUGAGCCUUGAGCGUCAACAGACUUUGAGUUGAAUAAAGGCUGCCUGAAGGGUCUAGCUUCAAAAACUAUAUGAAAGAGUUUAUACCUGAAUGGUGGGCAGGGAUGAGGCUAGGGGGCAUUGUGGGAUCUAAUACUAGUUUUUUUUUUGUACUUAACCUAAAUGAUCUUACCUAAUCCUCACCUGAACAAGUAGGGAUUGGUUCCUUUCAUCACUUCAGAAAGGAGGAUUUUGAAUCUCUGAGAGACUCAAACAAGCAAACAAACAAACACAACCCCCUCCCCCAACCCCAUGGCCAUCUUCUCUGAGAUUGGGGGAAAGGGAGAGAAAGAAUCAGUCAGAGACAGCCACUGUUGGGCACUUUCUCUUCUUCUCUUCCUUCCAAGACCUUGACUCUAGAUCUCAGCUGGUGAAAAGAACACUGCUGCCACUUUGUUCCACCAUCCCCUUGGCCACCAUAACAAGGCAGGGGCUUCUAUUUGAACAUGAAGUGUGAUAUCAAUCCCUAUUUCUGCCUUUCUUUUUCCUUCACUUGUUUUUCCUCUUCACAGGGUGGAAAAUGCUAUUUUACUGGUCUGUGGAAUAAUUUGGGGUAGCAACUGUCAGUGGAUCCAGAUCCGGAAACUGCAGAUGGACUUUAGUGUCAGGAUGAGGACACAUGAUUAGUACAGAGGCAGAAGCCUUAUAUGCAGCCUUGUGUUAUCUGCAAGUUGAAUAAAGUCUUAUUUGUCUGUGUGUCAAAGUAAGAUAUUUAUAUA